AAAGCUGCUGAGUCGUAUAUUCCAGUUUAUCCUGUGGAAUAGGAAGGAAUGGCCCCAGAUGUAAUUAUAAGUGAGUGGUGCACAGAAAGAGUGGAAAAGCCUCAGGAAAUCUGAAUGUCUAAGAACUUUUCGCCAGCAAUUAAUCAGUUCUCCUGGGUGUACACACCUGGGGGAAAUUGAGAAGGACAACUAGCCAUGGAUGCCUGAUUCCACAAUGCAUCCAAAUGCAGAAAGAUACUGAAACCUGCAAGUCCAAGUCAUUAAGGGCCUGAUCCUGAGAUGUACAGACCCUACAGACUUCAACCACUAAGAAAUGAACAAGGAGGGAGGAAAGCAUUUGAAUUAACUGCAUGAAGAGCCAGGUUAAAAUGUAACCUUGUAAAGCCUUUGGAAACUGGACAUGGAUGUUCCAAUUUAGUUGGGUAGAAUGCAUUUAUAUACAAACAAUGAUUAGAAACCCCAUAUGUAUAAGCCUGCUUGUAAGUAGUUUAUUAUUCUAUUGUUUUCCCAUAGAAGAAUAUGGUUAUUCAGGCAUCAUUGUGAAUGGUCUCUUAUUUGUAUUUCCUGUCGAGCCCACUGCCCAGCCCUUCAAUUCUCAGCUUCUCAAAGUCAAUAAAGAAUUAGGGACGCAUUACAAAGCUGCUUUCCCUUGACAGUUAUCCCACCUAGACACUGUGGCUGAGGUUUGGGUUCUUGCUGGCUAACAUUGGAUUGUGGCAGUGGCCGGAAGUAAGACUAGAGACAUCUUUUCUCCUUCCCUCUAGCUCAAUGCUCCCUACUUAAGAGGGCUGGUGUCAAAAGAUAGGAGAUGGUUCUGUUGUGUUAGAACAAGCAAAUGGACAGCAGGCCCCUAACCCCAGUGUGUCUAUCAUGAUGCUUUCCCUGCCAUUUCCCCAGGUAGCCCCAUAGGGUGGGCCACAAUUGCAUAACGCGUACAAGAGAAAUAACACAAAAUGGCUCAUGAUGCGCCUCACACUGUGAGCAAACGGGUAUUAAAUCCUCUCCGAACACAGGGGGACCGUCACAUUUCAAAAGGGGCAUUAUUUAAAAAGUGAUAAACCUCAGUGCAGUUUGUUGUUGUUGUUCAAACCCCCCCGUUCUUUAGAAAAUGUGUUUGCUCAGCCUCACUUUUGACCUAUGGAGAAAACCCACUAGCCAGCAUGACUGAUGCAGAGAACCAGUGCUUAACACUUAAACAGUGAAUUCUGCACUGACUGGCCCAUCUCCGAAGCCGAGCUGAAUGAUAUGGAUACACUUUCAAAUUCUGCACUGGCUGCCAAUCGAAAACUGGGUCCCUUUUUUUAAUAAAAACCCUCAUUUUCCAAGCCAUGAGUGGACAACAGAACAAUUAUUCCAGGGAUCAAUUCUAUUUCUGCUUCCCACCCUGCUAUGUUCCCAAGCACUUUCGUUUAUGGAGGCAGGGGUCAUCUAGUAAUUGUAAAAGAACCCAAUGGAAAAGGAAUCUGCCUCCGGCAGAAAGCAGAGCUCCAACUUCCUGGGCUAUUUUGAUGUAUCUUUAAUAUAGUAAGGUGCUCACAUACUAAGGUAAUGAGCCCUACAGAAAUGCUAAUAACUAUAAAACAAGGACCAGAUUUGCUGGUAUGCACCAGCUGUUUUACACCAUGCCUUUGGUGCAAAUCAGUUAUCAGUCUGGUUUAACCAGCCAGUUAAACCAGGUUCAGGGUGACUUUACAUCUCCAGAUCAGUACAAAGCAGCCAGAGCAUACUAGUGAAUUGUGCCCUAAAUACAUGUGAUAACAUAGGAAUCAUUGCACUACAUCAGACCCAAGGUGCAUCAGGCUCCAUGUCUCCAGAACACUAUGCAAACAAACUGAUCUGUACAACACCUGUGUGAGUAAUUAAAUACCCAUUUGACAGAUGGAGAAAUAGAAGUCGAGAGAUCAAGUGAUCUAGCCAAGGCCAUGCAGUGAGAAUCUGGCCGAGGUGACAUAAGAACUCCUCCUUGCCAGCUUUAUGUUGAGUUCAGUGGGCAAUGUUGCUUUCAGAGCCCCCAAGUACGAAGAAACAUGUUUCUUGCAUUAUCAAAUCAUGUGACAAACAUUAAAUAUUAAAACUGAA